rnacentral:rRNA from 1 species
AGUAACCGUAAGGAGCUAGCCGCCUAAGGUGGGACAGAUGAUUGGGGUGAAGUCGUAACAAGGUAGCCGUAUCGGAAGGUGCGGCUGGAUCACCUCCUUU